GUUUCCUGAGAAAAUUUCUGCUGGCGUCUUUGCUACAGCUUUUAUGCCAGGCCCUGACUUCAGUUACAUGACUUUAAAAGAAGAGCAUGAAAAACAAAUCGGUUCAUACAUGGACAUAAAAUACAAUUUUGCUGAUGGACAAAACAACCCUCCAACCUCCUUGUUGUUCGGACCCAACAUUUUGUCAACAAAGUUUUACCAGCUCUCCCCAGCUGAGGAUCUCACUCUAGCUACACUGGCAUUGAGACCAUUCCCUCUCCGUGAUGAUGGAGGUGCACUAAAUGUGGUGGUCACCAAAGAGAAAUAUGGCUCUGUUCCUCGAAUUUACGUUGUGUGUGGCCGAGAUAAUAUAAUAAAGGAGGAUUAUCAGAGGUGGAUGAUCGACAACAAUCCAACUGAUGAGGUUAAGUUUAUUGCUGAUUCUGAUCACAUGG
rnacentral:misc_RNA from 1 species